rnacentral:pre_miRNA from 1 species
GUUAUACUCCCACCGUCUGAAGAGGCUUGUCCCUCAAAUGGAUGUAUCUAACAUCAAAUUAGUGCUACAUACAUUCAUUUAAGGGACAAGCUUGAGACAAGCUUUUUCGAACGGAGGGAGUAUGUG